rnacentral:rRNA from 1 species
AUUGAACGCUGGCGGCAUGCUUUACACAUGCAAGUCGAACGGUAACAGGCCUUCGGGUUCUGACGAGUGGCGAACGGGUGAGUAAUGCAUCGGAACGUACCCAGAGGUGUGGGAUAACGCAGCGCAAGCUGUGCUAAUACCGCAUGUGAUCUGAGGAUGAUAGCGGGGGACCGUGCAGCAAUGUUUUGCCUCGCGCCUUUGGAGCGGCCGAUGUCGGUUUAGCUAGUUGGUGGGGUAAAGGCCUACAAAGGCGACGAUCAGUAGCUGGUCUGAGAGGACGACGAGCAACACUGGGACUGAGAAACGGCCAAGACUCCUACGGGAGGAGGAAGAGGGGAAUUUUGGAAAAGGGGGGAAAGCCUGAUCAAGAAAGGCCGGGUGCGGGAAGAAGGCCUUGGGGUUGUAAACCGCGUUUGGAAGGAAGGAAACGGGGGCGGCUAAAAACGGGAGCUAAUGACGGUACCUGCAGAAUAAGCAACGGCUAACUACGUG